CCUACGGGAGGCAGCAGUGAGGAAUAUUGGUCAAUGGACGAGAGUCUGAACCAGCCAAGUAGCGUGAAGGAUGACUGCCCUAUGGGUUGUAAACUUCUUUUAUAAAGGAAUAAAACGAGGCACGUGUGCCUUUUUGCAUGUACUUUAUGAAUAAGGAUCGGCUAACUCCGUGCCAGCAGCCGCGGUAAUACGGAGGAUCCGAGCGUUAUCGGGAUUUAUUGGGUUUAAAGGGAGCGUAGAUGGGUUGUUAAGUCAGUUGUGAAAGUUUGCGGCUCAACCGUAAAAUUGCAAUUGAUACUGGCAGUCUUGAGUACAGUUGAGAUAGGCGGAAUUCGUGGUGUAGCGGUGAAAUGCUUAGAUAUCACGAAGAACCCCGAUUGCGAAGGCAGCUUACUAAGCUGUGACUGACAUUGAUGCUCGAAAGUGUGGGUAGCAAACAGGAUUAGAUACCCUUGUAGUC
rnacentral:rRNA from 1 species